GCUUGUCUCAAAGAUUAAGCCAUGCAUGUUCAAGUAUAGCAAGUGUACAGUGAAACUGCGAAUGGCUCAUUAAAUCAGUUAUAAUUUAUUUGAUAGUGAAAUUGUACAUGGAUAACCGUGGCAAUUCUAGGGCUAAUACAUGCGUCAAUGGUCGGUCGACCAGUAUUUAUUAGAUACAAAGCCAGCCGUCAGGAUCAGGUGAAUCAUGAUAACCAAACGAAUCGCAAGCGCAAGCGGCGGUGGUUCAUUCAAGAUUCUGCCCUAUCAGCUUUCGAUGGUAGGGUAUUGGCCUACCAUGGCGUUAACGGGUAACGGAGAAUUAGGGUUCGAUUCCGGAGAGGGAGCCUGAGAGAUGGCUACCACAUCCAAGGAAGGCAGCAGG
rnacentral:rRNA from 1 species